rnacentral:rRNA from 1 species
UGACUGAGCGGCGGACGGGUGAGUAACGCGUGGGUAACCUGCCUCAUACAGGGAAUAACAGUUAGAAAUGGCUGCUAAUGCCGCAUAAGCGCACAGGACCGCAUGGUCUGGUGUGAAAAACUCCGGUGGUAUGAGAUGGACCCGCGUCUGAUUAGGUAGUUGGCGGGGUAACGGCCCACCAAGCCGACGAUCAGUAGCCGACCUGAGAGGGUGACCGGCCACAUUGGGACUGAGACACGGCCCAGACUCCUACGGGAGGCAGCAGUGGGGAAUAUUGCACAAUGGAGGAAACUCUGAUGCAGCGACGCCGCGUGAAGGAAGAAGUAUCUCGGUAUGUAAACUUCUAUCAGCAGGGAAGAAAAUGACGGUACCUGACUAAGAAGCCCCGGCUAACUACGUGCCAGCAGCCGCGGUAAUACGUAGGGGGCAAGCGUUAUCCGGAUUUACUGGGUGUAAAGGGAGCGUAGACGGACGGGCAAGUCUGAUGUGAAAGCCCGGGGCUUAACCCCGGGACUGCAUUGGAAACUGUCCAUCUUGAGUGCCGGAGAGGUAAGCGGAAUUCCUAGUGUAGCGGUGCAUGCGUAGAUAUUAGGAGGA